rnacentral:rRNA from 1 species
AUUGAACGCUGGCGGCAUGCUUUACACAUGCAAGUCGAACGGUAACAGGCCGCAAGGUUCUGACGGGUGGCGCACGGGUGAGUAAUGCAUCGGAACGUGCCCAGUCGUGGGGGAUAACUACUCGAAAGAGUAGCUAAUACCGCAUACGAUCUAUGGAUGAAAUCGGGGGACCGUAAGGCCUCGCGCGAUUGGAGCGGCCGAUGUCAGAUUAGGUAGUUGGUGGGGUAAAGGCUCACCAAGCCAAGGAUCUGUAGCUGGUCUGAGAGUACGACCAGCCACACUGGGACUGAGACACGGCCCAGACUCCUACGGGAGGCAGCAGUGGGGAAUUUUGGACAAUGGGCGCAAGCCUGAUCCAGCAAUGCCGCGUGCAGGAAGAAGGCCUUCGGGUUGUAAACUGCUUUUGUACGGAACGAAACGGCUCUGGUUAAUACCCGGGGCUAAUGACGGUACCGGAAGAAUAAGCACCGGCUAACUACGUG